rnacentral:tRNA from 1 species
GGAAGCGUGGCAGAGUGGUCGAUUGCACCGGUCUUGAAAACCGGCAACGGGAAACCGUUCGUGAGUUCGAAUCUCACCGCUUCCG